GGGGAAUAUUGGACAAUGGGGGCAACCCUGAUCCAGCCAUGCCGCGUGUGUGAAGAAGGCCUUUUGGUUGUAAAGCACUUUAAGCAGUGAAGAAGACUCCAUGGUUAAUACCCAUGGACGAUGACAUUAGCUGCAGAAUAAGCACCGGCUAACUCUGUGCCAGCAGCCGCGGUAAUACAGAGGGUGCAAGCGUUAAUCGGAAUUACUGGGCGUAAAGCGAGCGUAGGUGGCUUGAUAAGUCAGAUGUGAAAGCCCCGGGCUUAACCUGGGAACGGCAUCUGAUACUGUUAGGCUAGAGUAGGUGAGAGGAAGGUAGAAUUCCAGGUGUAGCGGUGAAAUGCGUAGAGAUCUGGAGGAAUACCGAUGGCGAAGGCAGCCUUCUGGCAUCAUACUGACACUGAGGUUCGAAAGCGUGGGUAGCAAAC
rnacentral:rRNA from 1 species